UACGGAGGGCUCAAGCGUUGUUCGGAUUCAUUGGGCGUAAAGGGUGUGUAGGUGGCGCUGUAAGUCGGGUGUGAAAUCUCGGGGCUUAACUCCGAAACUGCAUUCGAUACUGCGGUGCUUGAGGACUGGAGAGGAGACUGGAAUUCAUGGUGUAGCAGUGAAAUGCGUAGAGAUCAUGAGGAAGACCAGUGGCGAAGGCGGGUCUCUGGACAGUUCCUGACACUGAGGUGCGAAAGCGUGGGGAGCAAACAGG
rnacentral:rRNA from 1 species